AUCGGAGUGGAGCCGAGAGAGAAGGCUUAGGAGUUAAGAGUACAUACCACUCUUAUCGAGGUCCAGAGUACAGCCAUUUAAAAGGUCAAGCUCGAGACACCAGAAGGAGCCCAGGAAGAAAGAAGUGGGAGAGAAAGAGAAGACCGUGUAUUCAAGGAGAUCCCCUGGAGUCCUCCUCAAGCAGACCACCAAAGUCUGCUCCGUGACAUUUGCCCCAGAAGACCCAAUGUUCUUAUUAGCCAUGAAGCCCCUAACAAGACUGAAACACCUGAGACAAUCUGAACCCUGAAAGGCCCAGAGAAGUAGAAGUGGGACAAGAUGGGGAUCCAGAGGCCACCUAUAUUCAGUUGCUUUAGAAGAAGAAUCUCAAAGCUUAUUUUGGGUAUUGAAUAAUCAAGAGGCAGAGGAGGAGGCACAGAGGAAGGAAGCCCAGGAGGGAUCACAGAUUGGGAAGGAAGACUUACAGAGUCCAGCCAAGAGCAAAGAUGGGGGAGUGAAGGGCAUGUGCCUUCACGGGGUACCUACCCAAAGCAACCCAGAGACAGGAACCAAACUGAAGACUCAGCUCCCAUCCCACCCUUCUCCAGCCUCCUGGAAAACUUACCCUUCCCAUGCGUCUUCCUCUCCCAUUCUGUCAGAGACCCCCUCACCUUGACCUACUGGUCAUCCAGGGUGCUUCAAGUUAAUGAAAACAAGAGCCUCAACAAUUGGCACCCAAAGAGGGACCAAUGAUUACUAGUUCCCUUCUUAGCCCUGGAGAACCACAAACAGCAAGGUUGUGUAGGAGCUUGCUGAAGACUCUGGCAUACAGAGAUGAUAUUGGGAAUGAUGUCUCAGGCCUCCUGCCCCUCUGAGCUCCAUGACAGCAGGCAGCAGCCCAGCAAGAACUCCGGGAUGAACAAGCCAGACCUACUGGAAACUUCAAGGGAUGUUUUUGAGAACUUCUGAAACACCAGCCCUCAAAUAUGAAUAUGUGUCCUGACAUGGGAAGGCUUGGCUUGGCUUCUGACUCUUAGAUUGCAGCCCCAGGGAUUCUGUUAUAAGGGGGAGAAUGUCUAAAAGUCUGCCCCUUAAGUACAGUGGGAAGGCGCUCAGGUGCCUCCAGAGCCCGAACCUCAUUUUGAGAACAAGAUUUUAGCAUGAUGGGGAAAACAGCCAACAGUGAAGCGUUCUGCUGACGUCUGAAAGGGUUGCUUUCGUCUUUCAGCACACACUCCAAUUACAUGCAGUGUUGUGCUAAUUUGGAAGAAGGUGGAGGGUUGUUUAUUUGUUAAUUUUUGGUUUUAUUAUUAUUUUUUUAUUUUUAGACAGGCUUUAGUUAUCCCACAUUGGCCUGAAAAUCACUACUGUAGGCAAGAAUGGCCUUCAGCUUCUGAUCCUCCCACCUCCAUCUCCUAAGUGAAAAAAAAUCUCCUUGUCUUACUUACACGGUGCUGGGACCAAACCCGAGGCUUAGUGCAUGCUAGGCAAGCACCCCGCCAACUGAGCUAUACCCUGGACGGCUUCUCCGUAAAUAAUGAAAUUAGCUAUACCCUAGCACUGUGCCGUGAUGAUCCUUCUCAGAAAUGGCCUUCAGCAUUCAGCCUUGCUGACGGACAGUAUGUUCUCAUUCUGCAAAAGCACUGUCAUUAGCAUCCCUGAUGGCUAUGCAGUGUGCCGCUGCUCUCAUAGAUGAGGUUGGUCCUUCUAGCGGUUCAUGUGUUAGAGGCUGAGUGUCCCUGUGGUGACAGGCUGGAACUCUUUUAAGAGGUAGGGUCUACUGGGAUGUCCCCGGAAAAGGUGAUGGAACCUGAGUCUCCCACUGGUUCCUGUCUGGUGCUGUGAUCUUUUCUUCUCCAACGUGUUCCCAUCAUACUGAUGUCAUCUACCAUGAGGUCCUCCCCAAAGCUAGUCAAUGCUGGCUGCAUGCUCUUGAGUCCCCAGAACUGUAAAGUUUUUCUUUAUAAAGUAAUAUGGCUUCUGGUAUUUUGUUAUAGUAACAAAAGGUACUAACUGAUACAUCUAAAUACAGGUGCACGGCUAUUUGUUUAUCUCAUCUUCCCUUGAACAUAAUUCCCUAUACUGAGCUCUAAUUUAUUUGAUUUAUUAUUUUUAUGUGAAUUGGGGG